UUGGAUUUAAAUAAGAAAUCCUAAUAUUAAAUACAAACGAAUCAAAGUUUUAAGGAAAUUGAGUCUAUAAGAGCCCGAGUUAACAGGACUUAAAAUAAAAACGGGUUAUAACUCCCGGGACCCACCAAGUAACUAGGAAUAUUAACCUAGUUAGUUGGCGUCUUGACAUAAUAGAACAAAUAUGGCUAAAAUAACCAAACUAUAUGAUUAACAAAAGUGGAGGGGCCUAUGUUGUUAAAAUUGAAACUUCUAUUAUUAGUUUUAAUUAAAAACAAAACCAAACACCCCCAUUUGGAUGUCUGGUCGAUCAAGAACAGGAGAGGGCGACCUCCCUCAUCCUCAAAACCCUAAAAUUCACUAAACCCACAAAUUGAAGGCUCAAUCCAAGUUGAAAUCAAAAUCUGAACAUGGAAUCGUGAUCACCUCGUCAAAAGGAGUCAUAAGUUUGACGCUAAACGAGCUAGGUGGAAGCUUGAGGACGAAGCGGGUCAAACAAAUCAAUAAGGAAAAGUAAGGCAUAGUUUGGAUGCGAGGAUAAACCGGCCUAUGAAUUAGCGAUGCUAUGAAUUAGCGAUUAUUGAGACAAGGUAUUAAAACGGGUCAAUAUGUUGAUCCGAACCAGGUUAAUGUUAUAUGCUUCCGCAUGAAGAUCAAGCCACGAGCAAGAACCGAACACACCUCUCAAUGAAG
rnacentral:lncRNA from 1 species